rnacentral:rRNA from 1 species
UGGGGAAUUUUGCACAAUGGGGGAAACCCUGAUGCAACGACGCCGCGUGAUUUAGAAGGCCUUCGGGUUGUAAAAAUCUUUUCUAUGGGAAGAAAAUGACAGUACCAUAGGAAUAAGGACCGGCUAAUUACGUGCCAGCAGCCGCGGUAAUACGUAAGGUCCGAGCGUUGUCCGGAAUCAUUGGGCGUAAAGGGUACGUAGGCGGGUAAGCAAGUUAGAAGUGAAAUCCUAUAGCUCAACUAUAGUAAGCUUUUAAAACUGCUCAUCUUGAGGUAUGGAAGGGAAAGUGGAAUUCCUAGUGUAGCGGUGAAAUGCGCAGAUAUUAGGAAGAAUACCGGUGGCGAAGGCGACUUUCUGGCCAUAACCUGACGCUGAGGUACGAAAGCGUGGGUAGCAAACAGG